ACGAACGCUGGCGGCGUGCUUAACACCUGCAAGUCGAACGGAAAGGCCCUGCUUGCCGGGUACUCGAGUGGCGAACGGGUGAGUAACACGUGGGUGAUCUGCCCUGCACUUCGGGAUAAGCCUGGGAAACUGGGUCUAAUACCGGAUAGGAGCCAUUUUUAGUGUGAUGGUUGGAAAGUUUUUUCGGUGUAGGAUGAGCUCGCGGCCUAUCAGCUUGUUGGUGGGGUAAUGGCCUACCAAGGCGGCGACGGGUAGCCGGCCUGAGAGGGUGGACGGCCACAUUGGGACUGAGAUACGGCCCAGACUCCUACGGGAGGCAGCAGUGGGGAAUAUUGCACAAUGGGCGCAAGCCGGAUGCAGCGACGCCGCGUGGGGGAUGACGGCCUUCGGGUUGUAAACUCCUUUCGCUAGGGACGAAGCUUUUUGUGACGGUACCUAGAGAAGAAGCACCGGCUAACUACGUG
rnacentral:rRNA from 1 species